AGGCGCUCCCCUGGCGCCCGCUGCCGGUGUUAGGUGGGCCGAGCCCCGCCGGCGAACCCGGGGCCCCGCCGGCGUUGCCCCUUCGCCUGCAGAGGGAUGCGCUCGGAGGCGGUGCCGCAGCGCGGCGGCCUGGAGAGGUUCGCCAGUCCCGGCAAGGGCCGGGGCCUGCGGGCUCUGAGGCGCUACGCCGUGGGAGAGCUGCUCUUCAGCUGCCCGGCCUACACCGCCGUGCUGACCGUCAGCGAGCGCGGCGGCCACUGCGACGGCUGCUUCGCCAGGAAAGAAGGACUAUCCAAGUGUGGAAGAUGUAAGCAGGCCUUUUACUGCGAUGUGGAAUGUCAGAAGGAAGACUGGCCAAUGCAUAAGCUAGAAUGUUCCGCCAUGUGUGCUUUUGGGCAGAGCUGGAAUCCCUCGGAGACAGUGAGGCUAACGGCGAGGAUCCUUGCCAAACAGAAAAUUCACCCUGAGAGAACACAGUCAGAGAAGCUGCUUGCUGUGAAAGAAUUUGAAUCACACCUUGACAAACUAGACAAUGAAAAGAGAGAGCUGAUUCAGAACGACAUUGCUGCUCUUCAUCACUUUUAUUCAAAGCACAUGGAGUACCCUGACAAUGCUGCUCUUGUAGUUCUCUUUGCACAAGUUAACUGCAAUGGUUUCACGAUUGAAGAUGAAGAACUGUCUCAUUUGGGAUCAGCCAUAUUUCCUGAUGUUGCACUGAUGAACCAUAGCUGUUGCCCAAAUGUGAUCGUAACUUACAAAGGGACAGUGGCUGAAGUAAGAGCUGUGAAAGAGAUUGAGCCUGGAGAAGAGGUUUUUACCAGCUAUAUUGACCUGUUGUAUCCCACAGAAGACAGGAAUGACAGGUUAAGAGACUCCUAUUUUUUCACUUGUGAUUGCAGGGAGUGCACUAUGAAGGAAAAGGAUAAAGAGAAACUGAAAAUCCGCAAGCUGAAUGAUCCUCCAUCAGCAGAGGCGGUACGAGACAUGAUCAAAUAUGCCAGGAACGUGAUAGAGGAAUUCAGACGAGCCAAACACUACAAAUCUCCCAGUGAAUUACUGGAGAUCUGUGAGCUCAGCCUGGAUAAGAUGGGUGCAGUGUUUGAAGACAGCAAUGUCUACAUGUUACAUAUGAUGUACCAGGCCAUGGGUGUCUGUCUGUACGUGCAGGAUUGGGAAGGUGCACUGCGUUAUGGGCAAAAAAUUAUCAGACCAUACAGUAAGCAUUAUCCCUCCUACUCGCUGAACGUUGCCUCCAUGUGGCUGAAAUUAGGGAGACUGUACGUGGCACUGGAGAACAGACCAGCUGGAGAGAAAGCCCUGAAGAAGGCAAUUGCCAUCAUGGAAGUAGCACACGGGAAAGAUCAUCCAUACAUUUCAGAGAUCAAAAAGGAAUUAGAGGACCACUGAGCCUUUGAAUCUAUGCAAUCCUUCAAACCUUUAUUUAAAAAGCCUUGUUAUGGAAACCUUCAGGAGCGCUUUGAAAAGCGUGACUUAGCUGAGAGAAAGGAGAAAAAGGGCCGAUGAAUUCUGUGCGUCGUAUAGGAAAGCCACCACCUUUCCCUCAGCAGUUCAGCUGCAGGUCCAUCACUGCUCCUAGCAGCAGGUCCAAGCAGAGCACUGGCAGGAGGUUGUAGCAAGGAAAGGAGAAAGGAGUCAGCACGACGAGGGGAGCAACCUCAGUGCAGGAACUUCUCUGUCCGUCUCAUGCAGCAUAAGUAACAAGGUGGGAAUUACGUCAUGACUUGUUAAGGCUAUUUUUUUUUUUUUUUUUAAUACGGUUCCUGUUGCUUCUAAAUAACUGUUAAGUACUUGCUACCAUGCAUAUGCUGCAAGGUAAUUCAUAAUGUGAUUUGCUCCAAUGAAAUAAACAGUCUGGAGAAAGGAUCGUGCACAAAGUUGUGCAACACAGCUGGUGAAUACUGACGGACAGAAGAGGAGAAAGAGCAGAGUAUGGGCCUGGCCAGUGAAAUACUUGCAGGACGUGAAUUUUUUUCUUAGCUCUACCAUAAACUUCACUUUUGGGCCAGGGCAAGCCAUUUAAGAACCUGUAAUCUAGCUAUGAAGUAGAUGAGUACAUUUGUUUCCCUUUUCUGUUCUGAACUUCAGGCAAGGACUGUUAGUCCAUUAUGUACUCAUCCAGUGUCUGGUACAACAGACUCCUAAUCUUAACUGGAAACCCUGAACACUACCAGGAUAAAAGAGUAAUAAUAAAUAGAAGGGAGAACCCAAAUGACAAGUAGUGUUGAAACAGCAGCCUGAGAAGAGAGAUGGUUUGUGCAAUUUAAUACAAAAAACACCCUAACAAUACCAAAAAACUGCUUGGUACAUGCACAAAUCACAAGAUGGUGAUGGGGAAACAAUCAAGGCAGACUCUAACCUAAAGCCCUCAACAGUCACUGCUGGACAGAAUAAAAACAGUAUUGAUCAUUUUUACAAAGGUCAGUGGACUAGAAAAUACAACAACUACAGCAAGGAAACCACAGGAAACAAAGACACGUGACUGGAGAUGUCCAAUUUGAAUUUGAUUCCUUUUCCACACAAGGUGACCAUCAAGGCAAUAAAAGUUUCUGUGCAAUUCGUAAAAGAUGCUUCAUCUAAUACAUAUAUUUUUUUUCAGCUGCAUGUAGUUGAAACCCCUCUACUGCUCAACCCAUAUCUACAGGAAAGAUGCAAGUCUCACCCUGCUCUUGGUCAGUUUUCUAAUACUGCUUCAACUCUUACACAAAUCCCUUGAAGGACCACAAAUAGCAAAGGCUUAAUUUAAAA